CUCGUUGCCAUGGGGACGCGGCCGGAACUCGCCGCCGCUGCGGAGGGCGCCCUGGGUUCUCGGCACAGCUCUGGGAGUUAGGCGGAGCAGACAGGAUUGUCUCCCUGUAUAGGGAGGAGGAAAUAGCUCCUAAGCCAGGGAAGGUGGAUGGAACCGAGUGGCUGAUUCCAAAUUCUUUUCAUUUUUCACUAAAUUCCGAGGUUAAUUGUU